UACGGGGGGGGGCAAGCGUUGUUCGGAAUUACUGGGCGUAAAGGGCUCGUAGGCGGCCAACUAAGUCAGACGUGAAAUCCCUCGGCUUAACCGGGGAACUGCGUCUGAUACUGGAUGGCUUGAGGUUGGGAGAGGGAUGCGGAAUUCCAGGUGUAGCGGUGAAAUGCGUAGAUAUCUGGAGGAACACCGGUGGCGAAGGCGGCAUCCUGGACCAAUUCUGACGCUGAGGUGCGAAAGCCGGGAGGGCAAACAGGG
rnacentral:rRNA from 1 species